GACGAACGCUGGCGGCGUGCUUAACACAUGCAAGUCGAACGGAAAGGCCCCUUUGGGGGUACUCGAGUGGCGAACGGGUGAGUAACACGUGAGUAACCUGCCCUUGACUUCGGGAUAACUUCAGGAAACUGGGGCUAAUACCGGAUAGGAAUCCUUGCUGCAUGGUGGGGGUUGGAAAGCUUCGGCGGUUUUGGAUGGACUCGCGGCUUAUCAGCUUGUUGGUGGGGUAGUGGCUUACCAAGGCUUUGACGGGUAGCCGGCCUGAGAGGGCGACCGGCCACAUUGGGACUGAGCUACGGCCCAGACUCCUACGGGAGGCAGCAGUGGGGAAUAUUGCACAAUGGGCGGAAGCCUGAUGCAGCAACGCCGCGUGCGGGAUGACGGCCUUCGGGUUGUAAACCGCUUUCAGCAGGGGCGAAGCUUGUGGUGACGGUACCUGCAGAAGAAGCACCGGCUAACUACGUG
rnacentral:rRNA from 1 species